AUGAACUCUGUUGCAGUGUCUCACCGGCUCCUCUUUCCGGGACGAUGUGUUUCUCAGCAAAAAUCUUGGAAUGAGGGAAGCACAAUGCUCAGGCUGACAGGCAAUGACAAGAAGCUGAAGAUAAAGCUCUUGUCUACAGUGAAGGCCUGCACUGAAACUCACCAUCCUGAUUUCUUCGGAGACCAUCAGCAGGAGGAGGGCGAGCUUCUACAGAAGACACUUGUCCUGCAGCAAACAUGGAGUUCCAGCUCAACCGCCGGCGCACCUGUGACAGGUAACUUCACACGUCCACACCUGCACUCGUUUCAGACUCAUUUAUGUGAUGCUGAUGGUCUUCUGUGGCUUCCAAAGGAGUUUCAGAGAGGAUCACGACUACCUCUCACUGGUCCUCAGUCCUCAAGGACGCCUCAUAGACAGCCUGCAGCAGUACUUCAAAGGGAGUGACAUCACUGAUGACAUCAUAUCAGCAGCAGGACGUACAGGUCAACAAGUUUAAGUAGAACUUCACACGUCCACACCUGCACUCGUUUCAGACUCAUUUAUGUGAUGCUGAUGGUCUUCUGUGGCUUCCAAAGGAGUUUCAGAGAGGAUCACGACUACCUCUCACUGGUCCUCAGUCCUCAAGGACGCCUCAUAGACAGCCUGCAGCAGUACUUCAAAGGGAGUGACAUCACUGAUGACAUCAUAUCAGCAGCAGGACGUACAGGUCAACAAGUUUAAGUAGUUUCUGACUGGCUGCUGUCUGUGUUGUUUGUUUUCUCCAGACUUCUUCGUUUGACUGCUCAUGCCUCUGAGGCGCUGGCACAGUACAACAACCUGUUAAUCAGUUAAUACCCUGCAGGAUAACUGAACACAAACUCCUGAUCAUCUCAAAGUCUCUGCAGGGUGCCGGUGCUUCUGAUUAUGCUCUCUGACGGGGAAUCCUGUAGCUGGAGGAUCGACUGGAAGAUCCAGAAGAGUUUUCACUGUCCAGCAGUGCAGGAAACGCUCAGGUCAUCAAACAUCUGACCUCUGCUGGUCAGCUAUGAAACACUCACCUGAACCAGUUUAAAAGAGGAUGGUUGCUCUGAAAACAUCUGAAUCAUGUUUAAGCAUGCAUUGAGUAUUUACUGAAUUGUUUUUUCUUUUGAUAUAUGAUCUUCAACAGAGAGCAGAAAGAUCACAGUGGCAAACAGUGGCCCAAAACAACAACAAAAGAGGAAGGCGAAGAGGAAAAAAGAAAUAAAGCUAAAGCUAAAUAUCAGUUUAGUGAAGUUUCUCCUGUGGCUUCUCCAGCUCGAUUGCUCGAGGUCAUCCUGGACAUGACAUCUCUCCACCAGAACAUCUAUUUACAUUCCAGUUUCUGAAGGUUCAUCACCCCGAUGCAGGAAAAGCAAUCUGUGCCUAAUACCAUCAGCACAAAAAAGAAAUAAAAAGAUAAAAUAUACCAUCAGAAGAGCUGUCUCUCCAUCAUGACAGGGUUUAUAUCUUCUCAAAGCUUGUAAAAAAAAAAAAAAAAAAAAAAAAAAAAAAAAAANNNNNNNNNNNNNNNNNNNNNNNNNNNNNNNNNNNNNNNNNNNNNNNNNNNNCUGAUUAAGUUAUGUGUAAUUAUAAAAAUAUAGUGAAUAAUAGAGAUAAAGAACCUCUUACUGCUGAACUUAAUAUAUGAAUACACAUAAUAUAUACAGUUGAAGAAUCCUUAGAUCCUCAAGGAUGUUUUUAAAUUCAUUUAUAAUCAUGUAUUCACAUAAUCAUUUUAUAAUCGUUCGCCAUUCAUAUGAUUUAUUACUUGAUUAUUUUUUAUCAUUUAUCAUUAUAUAAUUUACAUAUUUUUAUUGUUUAUUCAUUUAUUAUGUUUUUUUUCAUUUAUUAUAUUUCUGUAUAUUAUAUUUCUUAUUAAUUUUUCCUUGCUUAUGCAUUUUCAUUGUUGUUCAGUCUCAUGCUUGUGGGGUUUCAUGUUUUUUUUUUCUGUAUGAAUAGAGACAGAUAAGAGUGAAUGUUUAUGGAAACCCAAGGUUUAUGGGAAGUUGCUGUGAAGCAGUUUUGGUAUAACAGUACCUGUUGAAUUUGUGCUGGUCAGACAAAGUUUGACCACUGAGACAUACGCAACUAAGAUUGUUCAAUAAACUCUGUUACCAUCAUAACCUUGUCUCCUGCUUCUGCUCCUCUCUGGCUUUCCUGGGUCAACUUCUUGACUGACAGAAGACUGUUCAACACAUGUUUUGGGUAUUUUUGGAUACUAGACAAGACUUGCUGUUAACAGGGUUUAGGUACAGCUCUGCAGACUAGUUGUUCUGAACAAACUGGUAUGUUGAUUGCCCUUACCUGGCGUCCAGGGCUGGAUCCUAAUUAUUAUCUGGCGUGGAGACCCACACAGUAGAUAACCAUGCACUGUAUAUUCAUAUUUUUGGUUCAGCAACAGUACAAUUCAUGGAAUUUGCCCCCAUGUCAUGCAUUAACAUUUUUCAGAUACAUACCUAAAUUAAUAAUAAGCUAUUGAUCUAACCCAGAUUUGACUAUAAAACCUUUACUGUAUGUGAGACUGCUGUGCCUGAUUUAAAUUGUGUUGGACUUGUUUGUUUUUAAAGUGUUUUAAUGGUGUGACUGGAGUUGCUUUGGCUGCCUUCUGCCCUGGCAUGUAUGCUCUUUCCCUUAUUAUUUCCCUUCCUGUUUAUUUAUGUAUUAAUAAAAGACCAUUACACUUUGUGCUUGAGUCCUUGACCUCUCCCCACAUCCUUAAGAUACACCAGAAUGAAUGCUGUCGAUGCUGUUUCUGUGAAAUCAUAAAAGGACAGAUAUCUUGUUAUGGGGAUAAUUACUUAAGGCGCUUGGGUUAAACUCACCUUCUGGCAUUAAAAUUCAUUAUCCUAGAAGUGUUGCUUCAUUUAUAGGCAUUAUCUAAGGGUGCACAGAAAACUGGGCUUCUCUGCACUUUUUUUUCCUUUUUUUUCAGAUUUUACAGUAAGCUAUAAUUUCUUCAUAGAAACAUCUGAGGAUUGAUGGUCCAGGUGUGUUUCUUUUAGGCACUGUUGAUGCCAUCAGCCAGUGAACUGAUGUAAAUGAUCUGUACUCAUAAUCAGUUUCUUAUUUUUAGAAAUUCAUUUACAGGUGUCUAAUAUACGCUGCUGCCUUAUUAUUUAUUAUUAAAAAUAAAUGUAUAUUGUCUCGAGUCGUGAUUCAUUUAGUUUCUUCAUCCUAAUUCUUCAUAAUUGUUCAGCUUUUUGCCAGUUUCUCACUAUAUAGACUGAAAAUUACACACAGUAGUAACUUCUAACACAGUUGUGUAUAAUAUUUCUAAAGUUUACAGAUUUAUUGAAUCUGCAUACAGAUCAUUUUGAAAGAGACACACACAGAGAGAGCUCCAGUUGAGAAUCCAGCAAAGAAAGAGAUAUCUUGAGGAGCUGAGAGAGGCUC
rnacentral:lncRNA from 1 species